ACACUCCUGCGGGAGGCAGCAGUGGGGAAUAUUGCACAAUGGGCGCAAGCCUGAUGCAGCCAUGCCGCGUGUAUGAAGAAGGCCUUCGGGUUGUAAAGUACUUUCAGCGGGGAGGAAGGCAAUACGGUUAAUAACCGUGUUGAUUGACGUUACCCGCAGAAGAAGCACCGGCUAACUCCGUGCCAGCAGCCGCGGUAAUACGGAGGGUGCAAGCGUUAAUCGGAAUUACUGGGCGUAAAGCGCACGCAGGCGGUCUGUCAAGUCGGAUGUGAAAUCCCCGGGCUCAACCUGGGAACUGCAUUCGAAACUGGCAGGCUUGAGUCUUGUAGAGGGGGGUAGAAUUCCAGGUGUAGCGGUGAAAUGCGUAGAGAUCUGGAGGAAUACCGGUGGCGAAGGCGGCCCCCUGGACAAAGACUGACGCUCAGGUGCGAAAGCGUGGGGAGCAAACAGGAUUAGAUACCCCGGUAGUCCCAUGAU
rnacentral:rRNA from 1 species